rnacentral:rRNA from 1 species
AACGAACGCUGGCGGCGUGUCUUAAGCAUGCAAGUCGUGCGGCAAGGGGUAGCAAUACCCCCUAGAGCGGCGGACUGGUGAGUAACGCGUGGGUGAUCUGCCCUUGGGAUGGGGAUAGCCAUUAGAAAUAGUGGGUAAUACCGAAUACGUUCGCCAUACCACGGUAUGGCGAGGAAAAGCGCUUCGGCGCUGCCCGAGGAUGAGCCCGCGUCCCAUUAGCUAGUUGGUGAGGUAAGAGCCCACCAAGGCGAUGAUGGGUAGGCGGCCUGAGAGGGUGUACGCCCACACUGGGACUGAGAUACGGCCCAGACUCCUACGGGAGGCUG